CCUGAGCCUAGAAUUCCUGAUUUUAUCUGUUAAUAUUUUACUGUCCUGGCAAAGCAAAACACAGUCUCUAACUUACAUCUUCUUCCUUGGGCUACCUCAUUUUCAUUUAAACAGCCAUCCUCGCUUUUGGAAAGAAAGAAAAAUAAAUCUUCAAGUCAGGUGUAAGUUGAGCCCUGGAAUAAACAUGUCAAAGCUACACAAACCACAAAGUCUGCCCUUUUGGGACUCAUUGGACCAUUCUUGAUAUGGGAAAGACAAAGGCCAAUAAAGAUUCAGCCUAAGAUUUAUUCUUCAAGCCAUUUCUCUGCUUCAGAAUUGGAGGCUGGUAGAAUAAGUUUUGAAGAGCAAACUGCAGAGCCCACUGGAGAGGACAUGUGUUCAUGUGCAGAAAUAAUUGUUAGAAUGAGACAGAGCAGAUCGAAGCCCACCGUUGCUCCACAAGCAUGAAGUUAUGCCAUCUUCUCAUCGUACUUCUUCAAUCUUACACCAACUCCACAGGGGAGGCUGAGCGACAAAUUUGAACAGAUUGAUGCACAAAUAAAUGUUUUGCUGUUAAUUCACACCCAGGCUCUAUGUUAAGAUGUGUAUAGUGGAGAAGUAGGUACUCAGAAGAUUCAUGUUUGUAAAAACAGAAGUGAGCCCCUCCUGGGAAAAUAACCUUUUAAAAAGAAUGGAUCGUAUUAACUCUUGGCUGACACUUCCUUAAGUUUUUUUAGAGCCAGGGAAACCACUUUUAAAAUUCAAAUUAUAUUAUCCUAAGGUUCUGAAGCCUCUUAUAAGCUAUUAAUCUGAUUGACUUGAAUCUUCUACUUGGCCUCGGUUAUCUAGGUAGCUGUGAGCUUCAUGAUCCAAUCUCAGAUAUUACAGUGGAUGGGGUAUAAGUUGUGUGUGUGCUGACAACGCAUUGAUUUUUGAAAGAAAUACCUUUUAAGAGAAGGAAAAGUUAAUGCAACAUUUUACCAAAUGAAAGUUAAUCUCUCCUAAAAAGUGGUUAGAAAAUGAAAGUAGAUUCAAGAUGCUUUGGUUCAAUGGUUUUCAAACUGUUUUUCUCAUAGUUCUAAGUUUCCUUGAAAAUGCCUUUGGGACAUCUUGAGAUGUAAAGAAAGGGGUUAAGAAGUCAGGAAUUUGUAUCCUAUUUCAAAACAAAUAAAUUCUAUUUUUACCUGUCU
rnacentral:lncRNA from 1 species